AAAUUGAAGGGUUUGAUCCUGGCUCAGAAUGAACGUUGGCGGCGUGGAUUAGGCAUGCAAGUCGUGCGCGAAGUUUUUUUGCUUGCAAAGAAACUGAAAGCGGCGAAAGGGAGAGUAACGCGUGGAUAUCUGCCCUCAGAUCCGGGAUAGCGUCGGGAAACUGGCGGUAAUACCGGAUAAUGUCUACGGACUAAAGGUGUAAUUCCGUCUGAGGAUGAGUCCGCGUCCUAUUAGCUUGUUGGUGGGGUAAUGGCCUACCAAGGCUGCGAUGGGUACCGGGUGUGAGAGCAUGGCCCGGCUCACUGGGACUGAGACACUGCCCAGACACCUACGGGUGGCUGCAGUCGAGAAUCUUCGGCAAUGGGCGCAAGCCUGACCGAGCGACGCCGCGUGUGGGACGAAGGCCCUCGGGUUGUAAACCACUGUCAGUUGGGAGGAAAUGCCAUGGGGCACUCUCCAUGGUUUGACCGAUCUUCAGAGGAAGUACGGGCUAAGUUCGUGCCAGCAGCCGCGGUAAGACGAACCGUACGAACGUUAUUCGGAAUCACUGGGCUUAAAGCGUGC
rnacentral:rRNA from 1 species